rnacentral:rRNA from 1 species
GCCCUUAGAGUUUGAUCCUGGCUCAGGAUGAACGCUGGCGGCGUGCUUAACACAUGCAAGUCGAACGAUGAUGCCCACUUGUGGGUGGAUUAGUGGCGAACCGGGUGAGUAACACGUGAGUAACCUGCCCUUAACUCUGGGAUAAGCCUGGGAAACUGGGUCUAAUACCGGAUAUGACUCCUCAUCGCAUGGUGGGGGGUGGAAAGCUUUAUUGUGGUUUUGGAUGGACUCGCGGCCUAUCAGCUUGUUGGUGAGGUAAUGGCUCACCAAGGCGACGACGGGUAGCCGGCCUGAGAGGGUGACCGGCCACACUGGGACUGAGACACGGCCCAGACUCCUACGGGAGGCAGCAGUGGGGAAUAUUGCACAAUGGGCGCAAGCCUGAUGCAGCGACGCCGCGUGAGGGAUGACGGCCUUCGGGUUGUAAACCUCUUUCAGUAGGGAAGAAGCGAAAGUGACGGUACCUGCAGAAGAAGCGCCGGCUAACUACGUGCCAGCAGCCGCGGUAAUACGUAGGGCGCAAGCGUUAUCCGGAAUUAUUGGGCGUAAAGAGCUCGUAGGCGGUUUGUCGCGUCUGCCGUGAAAGUCCGGGGCUCAACUCCGGAUCUGCGGUGGGUACGGGCAGACUAGAGUGAUGUAGGGGAGACUGGAAUUCCUGGUGUAGCGGUGAAAUGCGCAGAUAUCAGGAGGAACACCGAUGGCGAAGGCAGGUCUCUGGGCAUUAACUGACGCUGAGGAGCGAAAGCAUGGGGAGCGAACAGGAUUAGAUACCCCUGGUAGUCCAUGCCGUAAACGUUGGGCACUAGGUGUGGGGGACAUUCCACGUUUUCCGCGCCGUAGCUAACGCAUUAAGUGCCCCGCCUGGGGAGUACGGCCGCAAGGCUAAAACUCAAAUGAAUUGACGGGGGCCCGCACAAGCGGUGGAGCAUGUGGUUUAAUUCGAUGCAACGCGAAGAACCUUACCUACUCUUGACAUCCACAGAAUUCGGUAGAGAUACCUUAGUGCCUUCGGGAACUGUGAGACAGGUGCUGCAUGGCUGUCGUCAGCUCGUGUUGUGAAAUGUUGGGUUAAGUCCCGCAACGAGCGCAACCCUUAUCCUUUGUUGCCAGCGGUUCGGCCGGGAACUCAAAGGAGACUGCCAGUGAUAAACUGGAGGAAGGUGGGGAUGACGUCAAGUCAUCAUGGCCCUUACGAGUAGGGCUACACACGUGCUACAAUGGCGCAUACAAAGAGAAGCGACCUCGCGAGAGCAAGCGGACCUCAUAAAGUGCGUCGUAGUCCGGAUCGGAGUCUGCAACUCGACUCCGUGAAGUCGGAAUCGCUAGUAAUCGUAGAUCAGAAUGCUACGGUGAAUACGUUCCCGGGCCUUGUACACACCGCCCGUCACACCAUGGGAGUGGGUUGCAAAAGAAGUAGGUAGCUUAACCUUCGGGAGGGCGCUUACCACUUUGUGAUUCAUGACUGGGGUGAAGUCGUAACAAGGUAACC